CAUGCAAAUUGUGCAUUAUUUGAAAUAGCGUAAAACAUUGUCUAAGGGAUAGCGGUGCAUGGAUAAAAAAUAUCCGUGCAAGAUGAAGUAGUUACCGAAAACUGGCUAAAUUCAUGACAACGCGGGCUUACGUCUUGAGUUUUCAUGUAUUUUGUGUUUCUAUGGGAGCGUACCGAACUCGGUUCCAGUCGGUUGGUUAGUUCCGGUCGGCAGCGGCGUAGCCAGCUCGAUAAUUAGGGGAACCAUAUUGAUAUAUUCGCGUUCUGCAUUAUUAAUUUAUUUUGAAAUCGAUUGUUUUUAAGGUCUGUGAAGACGAAUAUAUGAAUAUGACACACACAUCCCCCCCCCCCCCCCAAUAAANNNNNNNNNNNNNNNNNNNNACCCCCCCCCCCCCGAAUUAUCGAGCUGGCUACGCCGCUGCUGGCCGGAACCCUCUGCUCACUGAAUGGAUUUUGCGUUGUUAAUUAAGGCUGGUAACCGCUGGUAGGUUAUAAAGCCCCUGGCAAAGUUAUUGAACAUCGUUCCUACAAGCACUACCAAAAGAAUGACUUUAUUUGAGUAAAGCUUUGAAUAAAGAAAGUUAUUGAAUAUCGUUCCUACAAGCACUACCAAAAGAAUGACUUUAUUUGAACAGCUCUUGAGAGCUGUAUCAAGCUGAUUGGAGCAUUGAUAAGUCGAAUAUUCACUCAACAGUCU
rnacentral:lncRNA from 1 species